GUGGAGGAGCAUGAGUUGAUGGACUAGCAUUACUAAUUGGAGGCUCUCAUAGAGUCUCCAUGUUAAUCCUCAUGAGACGCACAAAAGAAAGGAUAAAUGUUAGAAACUCUCAUAAUAAUAAAAAAAAUAACUAAUAAUUAAUUUGCUGAACUCUAAUCAUUGUCGUUAAUAAUAUCCAUUGGAACUAUUUUGUUUUCUAUGAAAUUAUUCACAUAUGUCAUUAUAAAAAGAAUACAUAAAGUAACCCCUAAAUCUGCAUCUAAGUUACCCAUUGUACCUCUGCACUUUGGAAUAUAAUUGAAUGUAACCCCUAACUGGCAUAUAAAUUACUCAUCUCUGUUAUUAUAAAAGAUAACUAAAAAGAACCCCUAAACCCGCAUCUAGUGAAGAUAAUAUAAAAAUGAUCCCUAAAUUUGCUUUAAAAUUACCUACCUUCAUCAUUAUGAAAACCUCCAUCAUUAAGAAAAAAUAAUAUAAAUUAACUCAUUUAGUUUGCAUCUAAACUCUUAAGUUAUACCAUUAUAAAAAUAAAUUAAAAUAUUCUCAAACUCUAUAACUAAAUUACCAAUAUAAACUAUCAAGGAACGAAUUGAAUAACAAAAAAAAGAUGUUAUAUGUGUUUCUAAAUUAACCACUCCCUACGGGACAGAGAGGCUUUGCCGAGUGUCUCUAGCACUCGGCAAAGGUCUAAAUACAUUCGGCAAAGCCUUUGCCG
rnacentral:lncRNA from 1 species